AUAAUGAUGGUGAUGAUGGUGGUGAUGAUGAUGAUGAUGAUGGUGGUGGUGAUGAUGAUGGUGAUGAUGAUGAUGAUGGUGAUGAUGAUGGUGAUGAUGAUGAUGAUGAUGAUGAUGAUGAUGAUGAUGAUGAUGAUGAUGAUGAUGAUGAUGAUGAUGAUGAUGAUGAUGAUGAUGAUGAUGAUGAUGAUGGUGAUGAUGAUAGUGGUGGUGGUGGUGAUGGUGAUGAUGAUGGUGAUGGUGAUGAUGAUGGUGAU